UUUAAAGAGAGUUUGAUCCUGGCUCAGGACGAGCGCUGGCGGCGUGCCUAAUACAUGCAAGUCGAACGAACGGAGGAAGAGCUUGCUCUUCCAAAGUUAGUGGCGGACGGGUGAGUAACACGUGGGCAACCUGCCUGUAAGUUGGGGAUAACUCCGGGAAACCGGGGCUAAUACCGAAUGAUA
rnacentral:rRNA from 1 species